UGGGGAAUAUUGCACAAUGGAGGGAACUCUGAUGCAGCGACGCCGCGUGAGUGAUGAAGGAAUUCGUUUCGUAAAACUCUGUUCUAUGGGAAGAAAAGGACUGUACCAUAGGAGAAAGCCCCGGCUAAAUACGUGCCAGCAGCCGCGGUAAUACGUAUGGAGCGAGCGUUGUCCGGAAUUAUUGGGCGUAAAGGGUGCGCAGGCGGCUUUACAAGUUGGAUGUGAAAUAUUGUGGCUCAACCACAAACGUGCAUCCAAAACUGCAAAGCUUGAGUUAAGGAGAGGUAAGUGGAAUUCCUGGUGUAGCGGUGGAAUGCGUAGAUAUCAGGAGGAAUACCGGUGGCGAAGGCGACUUACUGGACUUAAACUGACGCUCAGGCACGAAAGCGUGGGGAGCAAACAGG
rnacentral:rRNA from 1 species